GUCGCUUUAGCUCACUUGGGAGAGCGCCAGACUGAAGUUCACUACAGUCGUCCCACUCUGUGCGGUAUCUGGAGGUACUGUGUUCGAUCCACAGAAGCGACA